CUCCGGCCUUUGUUUACCGUGCACAUGGGCCAGCGCCCUUCUCUCAAAAACAGGAAAAUUGUAUUGUUUUGGAUGAGAGGCUAAUGGGGACUUUGGAAGGAAGCUAGCUAAGGGUGUGUAGGAGCUGCUGCACAGGAGGGGUCAAGAGCUGGGGGAGAGUGGCCAGAUUUCAGAAGGUCACUUUGGUUUAGGAAGUGAAGCUUUGUGGGAGGGGGGAAAGGUGAGCAUAUGCGUAGCCAGCCAUGUCAGCCCGGUCCGAUUUCAUGGUGGUGAUUACUGAGUGAUUUCUGGAUUAGCCUUUCACACGUGCAGGUUCAUUGAGCACUGGCCACUUCCUUCUCCUUGUUUUCUUUGCUUUUGAAACUUUUGCCCCACUCACUCAGGAAGAUUUGCAUGCAGACAUUUUUAGGUUGGCAGGGAACGACAGCUUCUCAGAAAAUGUGUGGCACCGUGCGGUAAGGUGAUAUUAGACCGAGGCACAAGGCUCGCAUUCACCUUGGGAUGAACCUAGUGAGCACGAAGUACAGAGAAUGCCCAGCAAGGCCAGGACCGGUGAGACCUGUGUAUGAAAAAGUCUAAAGAUGGUGUUCAUCUACCCAGGUUGCUAUUUACUGCCUCAGAAGGAUGAGUCAUUCUCUGUUUACACUGAGGGACUGAAGUUAUGUCUGUUUGCAGCCAGCAGUGUAACCAAGUCGUGAGGAUGCCAUGACAGUAACUGCUCUCUGGGCGUCUCAGAAUCUCAGAGCCUCCGACUCUGGACGGAACUUGCUACAGGAGACGCUGCCCCCUGUAGACUCGGCGAAAGGAGCUCUACUAAGAAAUAAACCAAAUUUAAAAAACAAACAACCCCCUCCAACCCUGCCUAGGGCUUUUAAAGAAUACAGAACUUUCCAGCAGCCAAGUGGCAUUGUCAGCGGUGGGCUAGGAUUUUACACCUCGUAGGAACAGAACGGGGAUGUGCGGGGAUCUGAGGGAAUAAUAUUAAUGGCUUGAGUUGGUCCCAGAUGGAAGCUUGCUGUGUUUCUACCAAAACGCUGCUCUGCUUCCUUAUGCGGAAGAUAGAGGCUCUGUUGAGUCGUUUAAGCAAAACCUUGCAAAGCACGCGUGGCCGUCUGGGAUUUGCAACAGAACUAGCCAGUGGGAGAAGGAAGGGAGAGAGAGCCAGGCCACGGGAGGCAAGGUGGUAGACACUAUGAGCGUCUCCUGGUGUCUCAGCGCUUCCCAAACUGCUGGUCCGGGCAAGCCACCUGAAUUCUCCAGAACGUGCAGGUUCUGAUAAGGCAGGUCUGGGGCGGGGCUUGCAAUUCUUCAUCUCUAACAAGCUCCCAGGUGACGCCAAUGUUGCCGGCCCCUGAACCACACUUUAAGGAGCAAGGGGUCAGGGUAACUGCUUCACCUAUCCUCUUCCUUGGUCGAGCCCUAAAGGUCAGGUGCUUACCUGCACGGGGUUCAGGGAGAGUAACGCCUGCUCGGUCCCACCGGAGCAUGUUAAUCAGCCCAAGCCCAUCAUGGUAAUUCUACUCCCUUUGCCAGUGAUUGGCUCGGGACGGGCCAUGUGACCCAUCUUGGUCAAGGAGAUAAAAGGAAAACCGUCGGGGGUGGGGAG